rnacentral:rRNA from 1 species
CGGCGUAAAGAGUGGUUAUGGGAGAAACACACUAAAGCUAAAGACCUCUCAAGCAGUUAUACGCACCCAGAUGCUCGAAACACCAGAACGAAAGUCGCUUUAACUUACCCACCAGAACCCACGACAGCCGGGAAACAAACUGGGAUUAGAUACCCCACUAUGCCCUGCCAUAAACUUCGAUGUACAAACACAAUAAACAUCCGCCAGGGGACUACGAGCGCCAGCUUAAAACCCAAAGGACUUGGCGGUGCUUCAGACCCCCCUAGAGGAGCCUGUUCUAGAACCGAUAACCCCCGUUUAACCUCACCACUUCUAGCCCCUCCCCGCCUAUAUACCGCCGUCGUCAGCUUACCCUGUGAAGGCACCAUAGUAAGCAAAAUGGGUAAACCCCAAAACGUCAGGUCGAGGUGUAGCACACGAAGUGGAAAGAAAUGGGCUACAUUAUCUGAAACAGAUCACUAACGAACGGUCCCGUGAAACAAAAGACCCAAAGGAGGAUUUAGCAGUAAAGAAGGAGUAGAGCGCCCUCUUGAAGCCGGCCCUGAAGCGCGCACACACCGCCCGUCACUCUCCCCGACAACC